rnacentral:rRNA from 1 species
GGAUAUGUUAGUGGCAGACGGGUGCGUAACACGUGGGUGACCUGCCCUAGAGUGGGGAAUAACUAUCCUAACGGAUAGCUAAUACCGCAUAUGCUCGGCGAUUCGUUUUGUCGAGUAAAGUCGUAAGGCGCUCUAGGAUGGGCCUGCGGCGGACUAGGUAGUUGGUGGGGUAAUGGCCUACCAAGCCGAUGAUCCGUAGGGGGCGUGAGAGCGUGGCCCCCCACACUGGCACUGAGAUACGGGCCAGACUCCUACGGGAGGCAGCAGUGAGGAAUAUUGCGCAAUGGGCAAAAGCCUGACGCAGCAACGCCGCGUGAGGGACGAAGGCCUUCGGGUCGUAAACCUCUUUUCUGGGGAAAGAGCAAGGACGGUACCUCAGGAAUAAGUCUCGGCUAACUACGUGCCAGCAGCCGCGGUAAAACGUAGGAGGCGAGCGUUAUCCGGAUUUACUGGGCGUAAAGCGCACGCAGGCGGCUUCGUUAGUCGGGUGUGAAAGCUCCUAGCUUAACUGGGAGAGGCCAUUCGAUACUGCGAGGCUUGAGGUUGGGAGAGGGGUGUGGAAUUCCCGGUGUAGUGGUGGAAUGCGUAGAUAUCGGGAGGAACACCUGUGGCGAAAGCGGCACCCUGGCCCACACCUGACGCUGAGGUGCGAAAGCGUGGGGAGUAAACAGGAUUAGAUACCCUGGUAAUCCACGCUGUAAACGAUGUCAACUAGGUGUCGGUAGCUUUACGCUAUCGGUGCCGAAGCAAACGCGUUAAGUUGACCGCCUGGGGACUACGGCCGCAAGGCUAAAACUCAAAGGAAUUGACGGGGGCCCGCACAAGCAGCGGAGCGUGUGGUUUUCGAUCCAACGCGAAGAACCUUACCUGGCCUUGACAUGUAGGUGGUAGAAGGAUGAAAGUCUAACGACCCCGCAAGGGGAGCUUACACAGGUGCUGCAUGGCUGUCGUCAGCUCGCGUCGUGAGAUGUUGGGUUAAGUCCCGCAACGAGCGCAGCCCCUGUGUCCUGUUGCCACCCGGAUGAAAGUUCGGAGCACUCUGGACAGACUGCCUCGCUUAAACGGGGAGGAAGGUGGGGAUGACGUCAAGUCAGUAUGGCCCUUACGGCCAGGGCUGCACACGUACUACAAUGCCCGGUACAAAGGGAAGCAAUACCGUAAGGUGGAGCAAAUCCCCUAAAACCGGGCCCAGUUCAGAUUGUCGUCUGCAACUCGACGGCAUGAAGCCGGAAUCGCUAGUAAUGGCGCAUCAGCUACGGCGCCGUGAAUACGUUCCCAGGCCUUGUACACACCGCCCGUCACAUCAUGAAAGCCAUUUGUACCCGAAGUCACCAUGCCAACCGCAAGGAGGCCGGUGCCGAAGGUAUGAACGGUGAUUGGGAUG